rnacentral:rRNA from 1 species
AUUGAACGCUAGCGGCAGGCCUAACACAUGCAAGUCGAACGAGCGGCGGACGGGUGAGGAAUGUAUGGGGAUCUGCCUGAUGGAGGGGGAUCACUACUGGAAACGGUAGCUAAUACCGCAUACCAUCAGAUGAACCCAUAUGGGAUUAGCAUGUAGGUAAGGUAACGGCUUACCUAGGCGCCGAUCCCUAGCUGGGCUGAGAGGAUGAUCAGCAACAAUGGAACUGCGACACGGCACAGACUCCUACGGGAGGCAGCAUUGGGGAAUAUUUCACAAUGGGCGCAAGCCUGAUGCAGCCAUGCCGCGUGUAUGAAGAAGGCCUUCGGGUUGUAAAGUACUUUCAGUCGGGAGGCGUUACCGACAGAAUAAGCACCGGCUAACUCCGUGCCAGCAGCCGCGGUAAUAC